AGCCACAAGCCAGGCUUUCACCUUCCCUGUCCACAGGCUCCAGGUCUGUCUGCUCAGCUCUGAGCCAUGGUCCCUGGCCCCUUGGAAACACCACAGACUAGAGCUUCAGCAUCCUGAAGACAGGCACACGGCACUCCAGAGGACUGAGACAGCUGGAGGAUCUUCCUAGAGGGUGAGAGACUAAGGCCAUGCCCUGACAGAUGUAAUAGGACUUCCACAGGCGAAGAGAUUGAGAAAGAAGGCCUUCCACGUGGGAGAAGUCCUGGGAGGAAACACAGACGCAGAAUAUGUCCAGCAGGCUCUGAAACCUGUGUGGUUAGAACAGAAGGUUCCUGGAAAAUAGGAGUGGGUGAGGAGAUCGACUGGGGAGCCUGGCUCACUCUAUAGAAUUUUGCAAACUGAAGAGGGAUCCAAGAAGCAUUUCAGAAAGCCAGAUCUAGCAGAAUCCAUGGAGUGACACUUUGAGACUAAGAACCGUCUGGGUCUCAACCAUCUAUUCCUGAAUGUCUUUGGUAUCCAGUGAUGAUUUCUGCCUGAAUCAAGUAUUGGUUGAGUGACUUUCCAGCUCUAUCCUCCCUUCUACACUUACUACCUGGUGUUCUUCAGCAAAGACCUCCCCCUCCCCAGGGCUGGCAGCAUGAUUUGUGGAGUCCAGUGCAAAACGAAAACGCAGCGCCUCUCUUUCAAAAAGCAAUUUCAAGAUGGCAACAGCUGAGCACUAAACUAGGCACAGGGCCCAUGUGGCUAUGGUGGCUGCACAUCCUUGAAGCCAGCCCUGCCACAGCCCAUACGUGUGUGCAUCUCAUCAAACGUCACUGCUCCCAAGUGUCCCCACUUAGGCCAAUGAGAGCUGCAUCAGGCAGGCUCCUUUUUGAUGUGUUCUUAUCCAUUUUCAAGGACUUUGUCCUUCCUGGAACAGUAAGAUGAUCACAGGCUCACUUUGUUCCUUCCUUGACCCAAAUCCAGAGUCAGCCAUUUCUCCGAGAAACCCUAGCUCCAUUCAGUGAGGGGAAUGGUUGGUUAGAGCCAACAGCUUCAGAGUUAGAGACCAAGCUCUUGUGCUGGGCAUGCUCCCUGCCACUUGGGCGUCAUUGCUCCUGGUCCUCUUGGAUCUGUUAAGAUCAGGUUUUCUUUAACAUCAUGAGUUGAUACUGAUUCCUCCCAUUCAAAUCCACGUGACAGGGCUUUUCCUCACCUGCCCAUCUUCCAUAAUCGCAUCUCCCUCUGCCACAGUGAGGACCCUGGUUCCCAGCCCCUCCUAGGGUUUCUCACUCUGUUUCCCACAACACUCACCAAUAGCCUCCGCUCCCGACAACAAACCCACAACACAGAGUUCAAGAUGUUUUAACUUUUUGUUCCUAAGAGUAUAUUCCAGGGAUAUAUUCCACAUAUACUUGAUUUUUGUGCAGCUUACUGAUUUGAUGUACAUUUAGGUUCAUAAAUCUGUGCUUCACAGAAAGGUUUGCCAUUUUCCUUUUUUCUACAUUUUCUUUUUUGACGACGUAUAACAUUUUGUAUCAUUCAAGUCACACCUAUAAAAAGGAAAUGUUCAAAGAUCUCCCCAUCCUGCCCUUCCCCCCUUUUCUCAGUCAUCCUUCAUAGGUAGCAUUUUUUACCCCCACAGGUAACCUUUUUUUACCCCCAUAGGUAACCAUUUGUAUUAGCUUUUAUCUUUCAUGAUUCUAUUUGAAAAAAAUAAGAUUAUUCAUGGAUCUUAAACAAAAGGUAGCAUACUACAUGCCAUCUUUUGCACUUUGCUUGACAAGCACAUUUGGUAGCCUCAUCUGCAUGUACUGUGUCUAUACUUUCUGGGAUCAGUGGGAUGAGAGAAUGUGUUAAUAAAAAUGUACCAGCAGAAUCAUUUAUUAACAACAAAAAACGUCUCUUCUAGCAUCAGUUUUUAGGACCUCUCGAUAAAAUGAGGGGGCUGGGGCCAGGCAUGGUGGCUCACGCCUGUAAUCCCAGCACUUUGGGAGGCUGAAGCGGGCAGAUCACCUGAGGUCGGAAGUUCAAAACCAGCCUGACCAACACAGAGAAACCCUGUCUCUACUACAAAUACGAAAAGCCAGGCAUGGUGGCACAUGCCUGUAGUCCCAGCUACUUGGGAGGUUGGGGCAGGAGAAUCGCUUGAACCUGGGGGACGGAGGUUGCAGUGAGCCGAGAUCAUGCCAUUGCACUCCAGCCUGGACGACAGAGCAAGACUCCAUCUCAAAAAGAAAGAAAGAAAAAAAAAAUGAGCGGGCUGAACUAGUUGCUCUCCGAGGUCCCUUGCCAUUCUAGCAGCCUAAAUUAUCCUCCCAGGAAGGGCACAGUGUAAUACAGCAAUAACCUUCAUGUCUCAGGAACUAAACUCUAUUUACUUCUGAACACCAGCAAAAUUAUUUUUGUAGUUGCAAAAGUUUUCAAGGACAUGUUGAAGACCUGGAGCCUUUGGAUAGGGAGGCUGCGAGAAGGAAAAGAGAAAUAAUUAACAGACCAAAUGGGGUUCCGCAUUCCUUUAAGCAAA
rnacentral:lncRNA from 10 species